rnacentral:rRNA from 1 species
AGUGAACGCUGGCGGCAGGCCUAACACAUGCCAGUCGAGCGGCAGCGGGUCCUUCGGGAUGCCGGCGAGCGGCGGACGGGUGAGGAAUGCAUCGGAAUCUGCCCUGUCGUGGGGGAUAACCUAGGAAAACUUAGGCUAAUACCGCAUACGACCCACGGGUGAAAGCGGGGGAUCGCAAGACCUCGCGCGAUAGGAUGAGCCGAUGUCCGAUUAGCUAGUUGGCGGGGUAAAGGCCCACCAAGGCGACGAUCGGUAGCUGGUCUGAGAGGAUGAUCAGCCACACUGGGACUGAGACACGGCCCAGACUCCUACGGGAGGCAGCAGUGGGGAAUAUUGGACAAUGGGCGCAAGCCUGAUCCAGCCAUGCCGCGUGGGUGAAGAAGGCCUUCGGGUUGUAAAGCCCUUUUGUCCGGGAAGAAAUCGUCUGGGCUAAUACCCCGGGCGGAUGACGGUACCGGAAGAAUAAGCACCGGCUAACUUCGUG